CGUAACACGUAGCUGACCUGCCCCUCCAGCGGGGACAACAGUUCGAAAGGACUGCUAAUACCGCAUGAUUUUCACCUUCCUAGAAGGGGUGAAAUAAAACUUACGGGGCUGAGGGAGGGAGCUGCGGCCCAUCAGGUAGUUGGUAAGGUAACGGCUUACCAAGCCAUCGACGGGUAGGGGGCCUGAGAGGGUGGUCCCCCACACUGGAACUGACAAACGGUCCAG
rnacentral:rRNA from 1 species